rnacentral:rRNA from 1 species
UACGAAGGGGGCUAGCGUUGUUCGGAAUUACUGGGCGUAAAGCGCGCGCAGGCGGUUCUUUAAGUCAGGGGGGAAAGCCCAGAGCUCAACUCUGGAAUUGCCUUUGAAACUAGAGAACUUGGGUACGGGAGAGGUGAGUGGAAUUCCGAGUGUAGAGGUGAAAUUCGUAGAUAUUCGGAAGAACACCAGUGGCGAAGGCGGCUCACUGGCCCGAUACCGACGCUCAGGCGCGACAGCGUGGGGAGCAAACAGG